CUUCACGACGACUUUGAAGCUAUGUUUAGUGCAUGGGAAAAUAGCUUCAAAAAGUAUUUGCUUAAUAUUACGAAUCUAAGUUUUUUGUUAUUACCAAAAACUUGUUUCGCGCAUUAUAUUUUAAUACACGGUUGUGAAGGUGAAACGUUACCUUAACAGGGUGACCUUUUUUGAAAAAUGCGUUAAGACUGAACGAAAAUGUAUGAAACCUUUUUUAAUCAGAAGUUUCAAGACUGUUCUUAAUCAAAAGAAUGUCAGUUUAUCAGGACUUUGGAGACUGGCCUUGAUAACGAGGUGUUCUUAUUAGCAGAUAUCCUACUUUUAUCAGGACUUUGGAGACUGGCCUUGAUAACGAGGUGUUCUUAUUAGCAGAUAUCCUACUUUUAUCAGGACUUUGGAGACUGGCCUUGAUAACAAGGGACUCGGAUGGCGAUAUUGUUCGCCCACUUCCACGAGUAAAGCGAAUGUUGAGUCAGAAACCAUUUGCCUGCCGCAUGUGGUACAGAUUCGCAAGUUGAAGGAUCUCUUGGAGACGUGGAGGAAGGAGGUUGAUUAAAAGCUGUCAACCAUGCAAGACAAGCAAGACAAGCAAGCCGCAAGACAAGCUAGACACAAGACAAGCAAGCAGCAAGACAAGCAAGC